rnacentral:rRNA from 1 species
AUGGCUCACAAGAGAGCUAGUCGUCGUGGUGAUAAGCCUGUCAUAUGUUAUAGUCCAAUGUUAAUCUGGGAUCAGGAGAGGAUAUUGAAUUUGAACUACAUCUACAACUGCAAUGACAUAGAGGCUAUGUGGAUGCAUCGAAUGAAAAGGGCACCUUUCGCCAGGCUUGUGCGGACCUUGAUGAGCGGGCUGCUACAAGAUAGCAUCCACACCAGUGUGGAAGAGCAAGUAGCCACGUUCCUCCAUGUUUUUGGUCAUAACCAGAAAUUCAGGGUUAUGCACAACACGUUCAGGAGAUCAAUGGAGACCAUUUUUAGGUACUUCAGGCAAGUGAUGUAUGAUAUUGGGGAACACAGCGGAGAAAUGAUCAGGUCACCAACCGGCUGGACUCCUAACAAGAUUCGCUCUAGUCCAAGAUGGUAUCCAUACUUCAAGGUGAGCACUGACAGUAUGUAG